rnacentral:rRNA from 1 species
UACGGAGGGAGCUAGCGUUGUUCGGAAUUACUGGGCGUAAAGCGCGCGUAGGCGGCUUGGCAAGUUGGGGGUGAAAUCCCGGGGCUUAACCUCGGAACUGCCUCCAAAACUGCUGAGCUAGAAUCCUGGAGAGGUGAGCGGAAUUCCUAGUGUAGAGGUGAAAUUCGUAGAUAUUAGGAAGAACACCAGUGGCGAAGGCGGCUCACUGGACAGGUAUUGACGCUGAGGUGCGAAAGCGUGGGGAGCGAAC